GUUGGGUAGGGGAGCGUUCUGUAAGCCUGUGAAGGUGUGCCGUGAGGGAUGCUGGAGGUAUCAGAAGUGCGAAUGCUGACAUAAGUAACGAUAAAGCGGGUGAAAAGCCCGCUCGCCGGAAGACCAAGGGUUCCUGUCCAACGUUAAUCGGGGCAGGGUGAGUCGACCCCUAAGGCGAGGCCGAAAGGCGUAGUCGAUGGGAAACGGGUUAAUAUUCCCGUACUUGGUGUUACUGCGAAGGGGGGACGGAGAAGGCUAUGUUGGCCGGGCGACGGUUGUCCCGGUUUAAGCGUGUAGGUGUGUGUUCCAGGUAAAUCCGGUUCACUUUAACACUGAGGCGUGACGACGAGGCACUACGGUGCUGAAGCAACAAAUGCCCUGCUUCCAGGAAAAGCCUCUAAGCAUCAGGUAACAUCAAAUCGUACCCCAAACCGACACAGGUGGUCAGGUAGAGAAUACCAAGGCGCUUGAGAGAACUCGGGUGAAGGAACUAGGCAAAAUGGUGCCGUAACUUCGGGAGAAGGCACGCUGACACGUAGGUGAAGUGAUUUACUCAUGGAGCUGAAGUCAGUCGAAG
rnacentral:rRNA from 1 species